rnacentral:rRNA from 1 species
AAUCAACGCUGGCGGCGUGCCUAACACAUGCAAGUCGAACGCGAAAGUCCCGCAAGGGGCAAGUAGAGUGGCGCACGGGUGAGUAACACGUGGAUAACCUGCCUUCGAGUGAGGAAUAACCUUCCGAAAGGAGGGCUAAUACCGCAUAAUACCUCGGAACAAAAGUUUUGAGGUUAAAAGGAGCAAUUCGCUGGAAGAGGGGUCCGCGCCUGAUUAGCUAGUUGGUGAGGUAACGGCUCACCAAGGCUAUGAUCAGUAGCCGUCCUGAGAGGGAGCACGGCCACACUGGAACUGAGACACGGUCCAGACUCCUACGGGAGGCAGCAGUGGGGAAUUUUGGCAAUGGGCGCAAGCCUGACCAAGCAACGCCGCGUGGGUGAUGAAGUAUCUUGGUACGUAAAACCCUUUCGGCAGGAACGAACCCAAUGACGGUACCUGCGGAAGAAGCCCCGGCUAACUCCGUGCCAGCAGCCGCGGUAAGAC